UACGGAGGGGGGCUAGCGUUGUUCGGAAUUACUGGGCGUAAAGCGUGCGUAGACGGUUAUUUAAGUCGGGUGUGAAAGCCCCGGGCUCAACUCGGGAACUGCGUCCGAUACUGGUGGGCUUGAAUCCGGGAGAGGGAUGCGGAAUUCCAGGUGUAGCGGUGAAAUGCGUAGAGAUGUGGAGGAACACCGAUGGCGAAGGCAGCCCCCCUGGGCCAAUACUGACGCUCAUGCACGAAAGCGUGGGGAGCAAACAGG
rnacentral:rRNA from 1 species